GCACUAAGAGGCAAAAUGGCGGAGUUUAACUGGUGUAUGACCUUCUUCUGGAAACGCUAAGCUGUUCUCGGCCUCUGUGUUUUCAUUUGUCCAACUGAAGAUUAGACAAGAGGCAGCAUGGGGUGGUGGAUAAAUCGUGGACCAGGGUUGAAGCGAAGAUCUGCUCAUCUGGGACACUCACCAGGUAAGUGAGAUUGAGAAGGGGACUCCUCUUGGAUCUUAGUUUCUUCACUGACUAGCAGGCAUUGCAAGACCAGUUUUCCAAGGCUGCUGAGAGUCUUUCAGUUGACUCUCAGCAAACAUGCUGUGAACUAGGUAAGUGGCAUCAUCCUUAUUUAUAGACUAGGCAACCAAGGCUUAGCAGGUUAAGUAAUAGUCCCAAUGUCACUCAGUUAGAAAGUGAUGGUGUUGGGAUACGCACUCAGUCUUUCUAGCCUUGAAGCACAUGUGUUUUCUAGUAUACCUCACUGGUCCCCAAAACUCAAUCCAAUAUUGAGCUGAGUAAAUUUUCUCGUCUGUCAGCUGUAUGGAGUAAUUCCCCCUGAGCUUACUUACAGUCAACCUUCAGUGUGAACCAGAGACUGCUGCCUCCCCAGCAGCUCUCAUUGGCAGCUCUCCGGUGAUGCACAUAUGCAGACAGCAAGAACUUCGAGUCUCUUCUAGGUUUACAGCUUCGUCUGUGGGUUCUCUAGGGUCCCAGGUAUGUAGCUGCGGACCAGGCAUCCAAGCUGCCUCUCAUCCAGCGUGUUUAUUCCCAUCACUUGGAAUUUCCAUUUCAAAGUGGGUUCAUGGCAACUGUUCCUAAUCAAAGAGAGUCACUAUUCUCAUCUUUGACUCUCCAGUCUGUAUCCAAACAUACAGGACUCACCUUCCCACAAGCACAGGCAACUCUCAUAAGAGGCAGACUCAGAUCCUGCAAUUCUGACCUUGAUAAUUGGACUCUAAAGUUGUUCUGCUAAUAGUCAUUUGCCAAGGAGUCAAUCAACAGAUUCUGCCCUGGGAAACAAAGGGGCCAUGGCUCAAGGUUUCUGGGACUUGAAACCUCCAAAAUGACUAUUUGGCUUGGUUCAUUUUCCAAAAUGGUUACCUGAAAAAUAUUAAAAGCCCUAGACUCAAGGUCUCUGUGAAAUUCUGAACUUGCCUGCAAGGAGUAAGGUAGGAGGUGCUGAAUUCUGCUGUUGGUUCUAUACUAAUGCACACUUCUUUGCAAUAUAAGUUUGGUCAGGUCAGUUUUUGUUAUUUUGCUUUGUUUAAGUUAUUUUUCAUUGCAAUUCACCCUCCACCCACCAACCCACAUUUACCAAGUUCUGUUUUUAUGCAUUUUAUAUAUUUGGGUUUUAUGUAAGACUUUAUUCAAAAAAGAAUUCCACUACAAAAAAGAAUGGAAAAACACUGGGUUUGAUGCCUCCAGCUCUAACAAAUAAUCGAAGACUUUGUAAAAGAUUUCUUUCAAAACUGAGAGCCAUCCCUAUGAUUGAUGUGAAGUAGCACUUAGUCGACAAGCAUUCUAUUACAGCUUUCUUUACAAACAGUGUUUUAGGAAUUCACCAAUCCAUGAUCCUUCAGGAAUUUUACUUGGAACAACAGAUAAAGUAAUAAACACCAUGGACAUCUGUGCAGGACAUUCAGCCAUCACAUUUGUUAAUGUGUUUUGGUCCUGUCUCUUAUGUGCAGGUUAUUGAAGGAGGACUCGAUAACAAGAGAGUCUCGAGAAAGCCAGUGGAAGGGAUGUAGCGCAAAAAGCAGAAGGCGCUUCGAUAAAGCUGUACUCAUGUUUAAGCUAGGGACCUUGUUUAUUUCUUCAGAUCCAAGUUCAUACACUUUCAGCCACAGGUGUGUGCAGGACUCCCUUACAGGAUAUCCUGGCUGUGUGUGUGUGUGUGUGUGUGUGUGUGUGCGCAUUUGAGACACAAAGACAGACAGGACUUGGGAAGGAGGGAGAGAGAAAAAGAGAGAGAGGAGAGUAAGAUACAGAUAAAGGCACAGAGAGA